UUUUAGGAAUAGCUAGAUAUCAUGUUCUAUUAGGAUUUAAUAACUAGAAGAGGUAAACGAAUCCUCUUUCUUUCCUGUUACUUUUAAUAUAUCUUCCCAUUUAUAGUCAAUAAGUUAUCAUAUGGAACUCAACAUACUUAGGUAACAAUUUUGAAUAGAUAUUACUUUGAAAAAGUAAUAAGUUUUGUUACGAUUGUACUGUGUUGCAUUAAUGGUGCAGUAAUGUUUUAUACUUCAAUUUCAGUAUGUUUUCCUUUCAAGUAUAAAAAUAAAUACUAGCUUAAGUCUUUUCUAUUAUGGAUGGUGCAUUGUAUGGAAGGUUCUGUAGCUUAUAAAUGGUUCAAAAUUGAAUUUUACAUUGCAUUCUUUGUUCUAUUUACUUACUGUCAAUAUCUGCAAUGUCAAGAAUGGAAUUCUC
rnacentral:lncRNA from 1 species